ensembl:lncRNA
UUGGGAAGAAUUACCUCAAAUGGCACUGCAGUAUAGCCUAAGGGGAAAAGUUAAUCUUAGUCCUAUAAUAAUUAAUAUCACACUUGUGCCAUACUGGAGCACCCAGCAUUUCUUAUUUAAUCCAGAUUACAAAUGAGCAUAUGAAAAUAACAUAAUACAAUUUUUAUGCCUCAUGUUUUGCUGGUUGUGAUGAAGAAAGAUGGUACCUGGUCCAUUUAAAGUCAUAGGCCAUGAGAAGCUGAUGGCUGAAAUGGUCUGAAGUUUGCCAAGACAACAUGCUUCCAGAGAAAUCUGUGAACAAAUCUAAACCAGCAGAGUGAAGUUCAGAAAUUUGCACACCUAGCUGGGGUAUUUUGAAUCUGACUCUGAACACGCUCACAUAGGAUUUGCAUCCAUGAAGCCAUAGUCUCUGUGAGACUACUUCUGCACAGAAGAAAGGGUGAUUUCAUGUUGCCACAGUCUUUUCAUUGACUCCACAUCCCUGACUGAUCUGCUCAGACUGAACUCACAGUACAGUCCAGAAUCUUGUACUCCAUACCAGACAGUUGUCAGUCCUGCAGCUAGACUUAAACCAGGCAAUGAUGAAAAAACCGGCAUAAAAAAUACUGUUGCAUGCUUGGGCUAAUUGAGAAGAUCCCAUGUGUAUUUCUGUACACUGCCCAUGCUCUAGGGUUUUAACAAGCUCGCUGUUUCUGGGUCUGCUAUCUGUCACACAAAGCACACAAUUACUGAGUGUGACUGCCUGUCACAGGCUAUCUCUGCUUGUAGCUAAGCUGGCUUGGAGCUAUCUUCCCAUGACCCAAGUGUGACACUUAUUUCACCUCUUAUACAGGGCCCUGAGCCAUAUCUGUAGGGGCUGUGAGCAAACUCUUUUCCUCCCCAUCUGAGUCAGAACUCCUUAGGGAAUAUUGUCUCUUCUCACAUUUGUCUUGAUGUGCUUUAUCUCACAAAAGGGCACCUGGGGAUGCUCACCCAGAGUUUCUGGGAUCUGUCUUCAGGAGAGAGACAACCUGCUUAUGCCACAAUUGCGCCCUCAAAUAAGAAAAGUUGCUUUGCCAACAAGACGGUGGCUGUGGCUGUUCAGGCAUUUACAGGCAGCGCUUGUGCAAAGAUCUCCCAGGCCUUCCCCACAAAGCACAUGGGCAUGUUAUCCUGUGCUUUUCCUUCUGCUCUUUGGCUCCUGUCACUGCAUUGUCCUUACAAGAGCUAUGCGAUCAAACAGAUAAUUAUUGGAAAUAACACCUGUUUUCAGAUUUUAUUUUGUUUUAUCCAGCUCUGUUGUGUCCAUAAUGUGGUGAAAGCAGAAAGGUAGUGAGUGUGGAUGUAGUUGUGUUGUUCUUUCAGAGCCCUUAUAUAAACAGAGUUCAAGUUGAGUUUGCAAGCCUGCCAGGCUCGUGACGAGAUCAGUGGGGAUCACCUUUCAAGAACUUGGGCUUCGUUUUGGCAUCACCCUGAACAUAGUCUUGAUGUGCCAUAUAAUGAGUCAGAAAUGCCAUGACAACGUGAUACAAAUCACCGAACUUAUUCUGUCAUUUCUAAUGUGUUCAAAAAAUUCUGAGGGAGUCAUUUUGUCACAGAACAUCUAACAGAGAAGAUACCGAAGUCAGCUUAAACUUGAUAAAAACAGCAUGAAGCUAGUACGGAAAUAUUUCUCUAUACUUGGGCUGAGUGGAAAGAUGAUGUUAUGUGUCUGCAUCUGAUGCAGAGCAAGCUGAUCCAAAAAAGUUUACAGAUCUGUUAAUAACCAACCUUUAAUAUGGCCUGAGCUGGUACAGAAGUCAUCAUGUCCUCAGAAUGAAGCUAAUGCACUUACACAAACAGGGGGCUUCUGCAAGGAAUCUCUGAGAGCAUAAAUUCCUGCAGUGCCCCUGGUCUGAGUACAGCUGUCUUUAAUUCUGAAAAUGUAUCCCCAUGUUGAACUUUGUGCAUUGUGCAAGCUCCCUGUGAAUUCAUAUACCUUUGAGAAUUGUGACUUAGUGAGGUAAAUUACAGAAGUUGAAAUUAAAGUGUAGAGCAUGUAUUUUAAACAAACAUUAAAGCUACUGAAGUCUGCCCUUUGAAAGCUUUCUUCUUCAGUUUCUGAGUCACUUUUAUUUGAACAUUGAAGGUAUUUUCAUUUUUUGUUAUAUUUGACAAUCAGUAGAGUUGUGUUUGGAAAGUAACUUUAAAAUGAAAAGUGAAUUAGCACAAAAAUGCAAAAGAAAGGGGGAAAAAAAGCUUAGGUGAGAAUUAACUGUCCUUUCAAAUGAAAAAUUAAAACCCCAGUGCUAUUAAAGGAAAUUUAAAACCACGUAAGAAUUUCCACAAUUAAUAUGCAGGUUUAAUUAUUUUAAGUUUCCCUUUCAUUUUAUACAGCAUGAGGUCCACAGAGGCCAUAAUUUCAGGAAACUCUGGCUUUGUCAAUGAAGCUAACUUAAAAUGUUCCCUCUGCUCCCUUCCCUGGUGCCCUGUACCUGGCUUCACACCUCUCCAUGGGCAACAGCUAUUGCCAGAACAAGGAUUUGCAGGGCUAAGCCUACAUCAGCAGAAAAUAACAUUCCCCAGAAAGAGUGAAUCAGUUCUGAUGCCUGGCAGUGGCAUCAUCAAGGCCAUAACAGCAAAGAGGCACAAGUGAAAUGGUGAAACGGCAGUGGCAACUUCUCCAGCAACAAGGCCAAGAUCUCAUGAGGCUGCUGCUGACAUGUCAAUAGAAAUACCAAAGAAAGGUCCAAGGGAAGGGACAAAGCAUCUAGGCUGAUAUAAUCUUAGAGGGUAUAAUUUAAAAAAAAAGACACCUGCUUGUCAUAAUCAAUGGCUGAAAUGAGAAGGGCCAAAUGUUGAUUGACACAAGAUAAUCCUCCAGGUGUUGUUUCUUAAACAAAAUGUUGUCAUCAAAAUACAGUAAUAUGUUGAAUGUUAUGGGACAUUGCUGGGUUUUGAUAGAAGGCAAAGUAUUUUAGCUACAGUUUGGCUUUCAGAGGCAUUUUCUGUCUAUUUCUAGAUCUUGCUAAUUUAACAGGGGGCUCUUCUGUAUGAUACAUUUACCCUCUGUGAUCUGGCUUUAAGUAAGCCAAUUAUGAGGGCUGCUGUGACACAGCAGUUUGGUGAAGUUCCUUGGUGUAACUGUUAGUGAAGAACUCCUAAUCAAUGUCAUAACUUUUUUUUUUUUUGAAAUGUGGAUAUUUUAGGGGUCUUCUGGUCAUAACAGAAACACUGAAUAUAGAGGGUCUACAGAGAGCUGUUAUAUCCAGAUAAAACAUGUGGGCUUCCCCUGCACUUUUGGAGAAGUGAGCACCUCCAGGGUGAACAUUCAGGUUCUUCUCAUCAUUAAACAAACAAUGAAGUGGAACAGAGGAAUGGUAUCUUAGCAGUCAUGGUUAGUUUGGAGGCUGGAUCCUUUGCUGGAGACAUCUCGGGUUGGUGCGACAAAUCUCUUGUAGCCAGGCAAUGCUUUUUCAUGCAAUGCCAGUUUUUAAGAUUUUCAAUGCAGUCAUGCAUGCCUUGGAAACUAUUUACCCAUUUAAGUAGCAAAGUGAAGUCAGGGUGACAGAUAUUUAACUGCUGUGAAUUAGGGUAGCUCUUCUGAAAGUGCCUGGAAGCUCUGAUGACCAACUUCUCCCAUUUAAGACUGCUGGUUUUACUAUACACAGACAUCAUCAGAAACAAAGAUGUUGUUAGGCAGUGGUGAACAGGCGAUUUGGCCUUGGCUCAAUUAGCCAUGAAAUGGAAAAAGCAGGAAAAUUCAUACAAAGAAAAGAAAAACAACCCAUGAUUUCCCAACAGCACUUUGAAAACUUUUUCUGCCGCUUUGAUAAUUGUUGUUCCCUCCUCUCACAGGCCCAGCCUGGAGCCGUUAUUUGAACUAGGUGUAAAUAUAUAGGGAGAAAUUAUGAGAUAAAGGCAUACACCACAGGAGGAAGUCCCAGUUCAGGAAGACAACUCAAGUACUAUAGAAGGUAGGGUGGCAUGCAAAUGUGCACUUCUGAAUAAGGGCGUUCCCCCAGAUCAGAUCCUAAGUACUUGGCAAGAGGCUUUUCAGAGUUCCCCAGAACACUGCCAGAUAUACUCAAACCCAGCCUGCAGCUCCCUGCCUGAUCAAGCCCUUGAUUUCCUCCAGGAAAGAAAGGCUGUCUUUACACUGAUGUUGGGAUCUGAAAGUCAGCUCACUGAGGAUGAAUGUAAGCUCAGCAAAAUAGUUUUCUCUUGCACAUGUAUUUUGGCAAUAUUGGGGGUAAAAGCCUCUGGAGCUGGACUCUUCCUGAUCUACAUGGAAUUACACCACUGUAAGAAGAGGUGGAGAUCAUGCAUUUCCACUGAGGUGGACACCUGUCCAGCAGAGAAAAAGGUCCUGUCUAGCUCUUCACUGGGCUCAGCUGGAAGAAAAAAUGUAUUUUCAUACUAUUGAAAAGGAAAUACCAAAUGAGAGAAGUUAAUGAGUUUUAGUAAGGGCCACUAACCUUAGCAUUAGGUAUUUUAAGCAAUUUGUUAUAGUUAGCCAUAUUCCUUUCUCCACCAAAAUAAGACAGAAACACUUUAUGAUUUUUUUGAUGAUGAGAUUUUACACUGUCAAGGUGUAAAAUUAUAUUUAAAUAUCAACCUUUUCCCUGCAUCCUACAGCAGUUUCCAACAUGUUUGCAUACUACAUUUUACAGGACAGCAGCUAAUAUCUACACUUAAUAACACUUAAAUCUUAUCUAGUUGUCUGACAUCUCUAAGCACUUCAGGAAUAAAAAAAACCAACAAAAAAAAAAAAAAAAAAAA